CUUUCUGGCCCGCACUCCUGCUUCUGGAUAGGAGGUCCUCGAGUCACAUGGGACGCGUGGGGGAGGCCAGGCCUCGAGACCCCAGAGUGCCAGGUGCUUUGUGAAUAGCUUCAUUUUCUGGGGAGAAAAUCCAAGCCUCAGUCAGAAUCUCAAGUGGCUCCUGCACCCCUGGGUGUGCAGAACCCAGCUUACUUGUAGCUCUCUCUCGGAGGGAUGCAGCAGAGACCACAGGAAAGGUGGUCUCUGUACCGGCCAGCUCCCCACCUGGGACCCGGUCUCCACACAAGAAGGAGGCAGUGCAGGACAUGGUCUGGAGUCUCACGUGUCACCGCAGCCAGGGGCAGCACCCAGAACCUGGUCCAACUCCAGAUGCAUCUUCAAGGUGGCUCGGAAUGACUUUGGAGACCCUAUUACCAAAUUUCCAGCUUCACAAUUGCUUUCUGCGGUGACACGCUUCCCAGUGCACGUGAGGACGGGGAUGGAAGCUCUGCUCUCCACCUCGGGUGUGCGAACUGCACGGGUGCUUUUCCUGCGCACUGUGUUGGCCUGUAUCUGUGUUCCUCCUGUUGCGGGUGCACAGGGGCUGAUGUCACCGUGUCCUUCUCCAGCUGGCAUUGCUGCUAGAACCUAGAGAAAAAGGGAGGCCCCUGGGGAACCUGUGAUGGACAGUGAGCCCCACCCAUCGGGACAGCCGCGUGCUGGCCCAUCCCACGCCCUGGUGUGGACCGUGGACCUUGCGCUGGCGUGGGGAAGGAGCCCUGGUCUUGUGACCCAGUGAUCUCAGCGUCUUUGGGCCACACCGUGCUGGCUCCGCGCGUGGGAACAAGGAACACUGUCACACAUGCAGGCACGGAGAGCAUUUCCCUCUGCACCGACAGCUCCUCAGAUCUGGUACGGUUUCUGUCAGAUAAAAGCAUGAUGCUGGGUCCUCCUCCACCUCAUUCACUGAAUCUGGCACCGUGUGACUUCAGACUCUUCCCCAAGGUCAAAAUGACCAAAAAGGGAAAGGUUUUAUAUCGAUUCAGGACAUUGAUGCAGCCAGGACAGCGAAACUAAAGACACUCAGGAGAGAGGGCUCCAGAGCUGCUGCAGGAAGAGGCAGAAAUGAUGGGAUGAGUGUGCUCGAAGCGAGGGGAGGAUUUGGAGGGGAUUCAUGGCAAUGUGCCUUUCACUGUGAUCAUUUUUUUUUUUUUGUAUCGGGAUCAAACUCAGGACCUUGCGCUUGCCAGGCAGGCACUGCUGCUGAGCUAAAUCCCCGG
rnacentral:lncRNA from 1 species